GAGAGAACUGAACUUGGUACUUGUCACCUGGGGAAUUGGAUCUAAUGGCAGUUCUUGAAAUCCCCGGGAGCCAAGUACUAUUAUUAGUCACAUUUAACAGCUGAGGAAACUGAAGCCAACAGAGGUGAAGUGACUUGCCCAGGAUCACACAGGU
rnacentral:lncRNA from 1 species